rnacentral:rRNA from 1 species
UACGUAGGGUGCAAGCGUUGUCCGGAAUUAUUGGGCGUAAAGAGCUCGUAGGCGGUCUGUCGCGUCUGCUGUGAAAACUCGGGGCUUAGCCCCGGGCCUGCAGUGGGUACGGGCAGACUAGAGUGCGGUAGGGGAGACUGGAAUUCCUGGUGUAGCGGUGAAAUGCGCAGAUAUCAGGAGGAACACCGGUGGCGAAGGCGGGUCUCUGGGCCGUAACUGACGCUGAGGAGCGAAAGCAUGGGGAGCGAACAGG